rnacentral:rRNA from 1 species
UACGUAGGUGACAAGCGUUGUCCGGAUUUACUGGGCGUAAAGAGCUCGUAGGCGGUCUGUCGCGUCUGUUGUGAAAACUCGAGGCUCAACCUCGGGCUUGCAGUGGAUACGGGCAGACUAGAGUGCGGUAGGGGAGACUGGAAUUCCUGGUGUAGCGGUGGAAUGCGCAGAUAUCAGGAGGAACACCGAUGGCGAAGGCAGGUCUCUGGGCCGCAACUGACGCUGAGGAACGAAAGCAUGGGGAGCGAACAGG